rnacentral:sRNA from 2 species
GGUGCCGUUCGUUAGCUGAGGCUCCUUCGCGGAAACAUGCCAGCGACCCCCAACGUCGAGAGACGCCCCGGGUCAGGACAGGCCGCCCCGGCAUUAAGGGGUGGCCCCGAUUGGCUCCCGGAACGCCGGGUUCACGCCGCGAAGUGCCAAAGGUCUUACGAGGAGGGGCAAC